UAGUGAGUUUGAUCCUGGCUCAGGAUGAACGCUGGCGGCGUGCUUAACACAUGCAAGUCGAACGGUGAAGCCAAGCUUGCUUGGUGGAUCAGUGGCGAACGGGUGAGUAACACGUGAGCAACCUGCCCCGGACUCUGGGAUAAGCGCUGGAAACGGCGUCUAAUACCGGAUAUGAACCACAGCCGCAUGGUUGGUGGUUGGAAAGAUUUUUUGGUUCGGGAUGGGCUCGCGGCCUAUCAGCUUGUUGGUGAGGUAAUGGCUCACCGAAGGCGUCGACGGGUAGCCGGCCUGAGAGGGUGACCGGCCACACUGGGGACUGACGACACGGCCCAGACU
rnacentral:rRNA from 1 species